CCCAGUAACGGCGAGUGAAGCGGCAACAGCUCAAAUUUGAAAUCUGGCCCCCCGCGGGCCCGAGUUGUACUUUGGAGAGGACGCUUCUGGCGCGGCGCCGUCCGAGUUCCCUGGAACGGGACGCCGGAGAGGGUGAGAGCCCCGUACGGGCGGCCGCCUAGCCUCUGCGAAGCUCCUUCGACGAGUCGAGUAGUUUGGGAAUGCUGCUCAAAAUGGGAGGUAAAUUUCUUCUAAAGCUAAAUACCGGCCAGAGACCGAUAGCGCACAAGUAGAGUGAUCGAAAGAUGAAAAGCACUUUGAAAAGAGGGUCAAACAGUACGUGAAAUUGUUGAAAGGGAAGCGCCUGUGGCCAGACUUGCGCCCCGCGGACCACCCGGCGCCUCGCGCGCCGGGGCACGCCAGCGGGGCGCAGGCCAGCAUCGGCUCUCUCGGGGGGACAAAGGCCGCGGGAACGUAGCGCCCUCGCGGCGUAUUAUAGCCCGCGGCGCCAUGCCCCCGGGGGGGCCGAGGACCGCGCUCCGGCAAGGAUGCUGGCGUAAUGGCCACCGGCGACCCGUCUUGAAACACGGACCAAGGAGUCAAGCAUUGGGGCGAGUGUCUGGGUGGCAAGCCCGCACGCGGAAUGAAAGUGAACGCAGGUGGGAGCUUCGGCGCACCACCGACCGAUCCUGAUGUCCUCGGAUGGAUUUGAGUAGGAGCCCCGCCGCUUGGACCCGAAAGAUGGUGAACUAUGCCUGUAUAGGGUGAAGCCAGAGGAAACUCUGGUGGAGGCCCGCAGCGGUUCUGACGUGCAAAUCGAUCGUCAAAUAU
rnacentral:rRNA from 1 species